CAGCUAGUAUUCUCACUCCAGUUGCAUAGUCACAAAAGUGAUCACUGGCAGGUGUGGCCGCUGCA
rnacentral:miRNA from 1 species